CCCGGAGCUGGGACAGCCUGACUUUCCAUUCUCACACACAACGAGAGAUCUGUUGUCCCAGGGUGAGGAAGCAAAGGCACAGAAGAGCUGAAGCGAUUUGCCCACAGUCACAAGGGCACUGGACUUUAAGGGCCAAGAGUGAAGACCAUUUUGUCCUGUUCUCUGGCACACAGUAGGCACUCGACAACUAUUUCAAAACUAAAGGAAUAAGCAAGUGGCCUCAUGGCUACUGAGGACAGAGUCUGGAACUGAAUGCAGGGCACUCUGAAGCUGGAGCUCACUUCUACAUUAUUGCCUUUCUCAUGCUACUAGCAGGCACUGAAUGUGUCAGUGAGUGAAUGAAUGAAACCAAGAUCUCAGGAUCCCAGUCAAGUGCUCCCUGAGUUUCAUUUCCUGGUAGUGUGGACAUGAGCCAAGCUCCAGCCACCUUGGAUGGUGGUGGGGGUGGCGGGGCUGAUGGGCCGCCUGAAGCCGGCUGUCAGGAGCUCGUCUGGCCACAGCCGCCAGCAGGAGAGACCAGCUGGCGGUGCAGGGUCCAUCGGCCCGGGCCUGGAAUCUGAGCUGCCCUCAGAGGCCCAGCUUCUCUCUGGGCCCCCACAAACUGGCCUUUGUUCCUGGGCCGGCCAAGACCCAGCAGCUUGGGCUUUCUGUCUGCCCGCGGCACCCGCGCUGAGCUGGCGGGGUAAAUGGGCCAGCCUCCCCUCUGUCCAUGCCCAGGACGUCGCUUUAGGACUAAAUGGAGAUGUAAUUUUCUAUACAAAUCCAUGACAAUUUAGAUGGAGUGAUUGUAAUUGGCUUUUCAAUGGGGGUUUUGUCCAGAGCUGGUGGCUAGAACUGGGUGGCCUGUUUGAGGCAGGCUCCAUUUAAAUGACAAUAAAGCAAUAAUAUUGAGGACUUGUACAGUGCCC
rnacentral:lncRNA from 10 species